GAUAAACGCUGGCGGCGUGCAUAACACAUGCAAGUCGAACGAAGUGGCGAACGGGUGAGUAACACGUGAGUAACCUGCCUUACACAAGGGGAUAGCCUUUGGAAACGUAGAAUAAUACCCUAUAGUGUAAGAUGGACUUGCGUCUGAUUAGCUAGUUGGUGAGAUAAAAGCCCAACAAGGCGACGAUCAGUAGCCGGCUUGAGAGAGUGUACGGCCACAUUGGGACUGAGACACGGCCCAAACUCCUACGUGAGGCAGCAGUGGGGAAUUGUGCACAAUGGGGGAAACCCUGAUGCAGCGACGCCGCGUGAGUUAGAAGGCCUUCGGGUUGUAAAGCUCUGUUAAUCGGGACACGGUACCGGAAUAGAAAGCCACGGCUAACUACGUGCCAGCAGCCGCGGUAAUAC
rnacentral:rRNA from 1 species